GCGCGGGCCUGGGCGCUGCGGGCGCCGGGACGCCGCUCGCUGAUUGGCCCGAAGUUGGCGGCUCUGACCCGCGCCCGGGCGCGAAGCCCGGAGCAGGGCUGACCCCAGGGCCUCAAACCCGGAGGCCCGCGAGCUGCGCGGGCCGUCAGCACCCCUAGCCCCGGCGCGGCGGCGUGCGUUCCCGCCUUUGUCCAGCUCUGGGUUUUCAAACCUUGCCCCGCUGAACCAUUACUCCCUGUAGGGGAGUCUCGCUUGCUUCUCUUCAGAUGCAAAACGAAAUGGACCUUCACACAGCUGGGGCAUCCUCCAAAACAACUUUAUCAAGUUCCUGACUCUGAAAGCCAGCUUAUUGCCGACUACUGAGAACGAACCCUGCGGUCUAGGAAAUUUCCGUGCUUCUCACAUUUGAGUUAUGCGUCUUUGCUUUUUUUCACGUUUGUUGCAGAGGCUAGAACUUAAUAAGGGAUCGCAAAGAGAAGAGAACAGACUAAGACAGAAAAUUGGGACCAAGAAGUGGAGUUAUUUCUGUUACAAAUACUUGAAAUUGUGCAAGCAGCUUUGGAAUUCGGUAAUGAGUAGAGGCUACAAGAAUUUGGAGGAGCAAGCAAGAAAAGGUACAUAUUGCCAUGAACAGACCAUGAAGGACAAUUCUGAUGAAGGCUUAGAAAAAGAUCCCAGAAUUAGGAAAGUCUAAAUCUUCCUAAAAAUGUUGAGAAAAAUAUAGACAGUAACAGUCAUUCUGACAAGUUCCAGACAAAAAUGGGGAACAAGGUAUUGGAAACUGGAAUAAAGACCAUUCUUGUUAUAAGAUAGCAAAGACCUUGGCUGAAUUAUGCCUAUAUCCUAAGACUUUAUGGAAUGCAGAACUUAAAAGUGAUGAACUUGGAUAUAUGGUGGAAGAAAUAUCAAAGCAGUGAGCCAUUCAGACUUCUGUCUGGCUACUUUUAACUACAUGCAGUGAGAUAUGAGAGCAAAGGUAUUAACUAAUUUAAAGGGAAGCAGAGUGAAAAGAUUUGGAAAAUUUGCAUCUUGGCCAGAUAAAAACUGAAAAGCCUGUUCAGGAGAGAACACUAAGGGUGUGGAUGGUGACCAUUUGUUAAAGAGGUUAAUAUGAAUAAAGGGAGCCAGGUGCUACUCAUCAAGACAAUGGGAAAAGAUCCUGCAAGCAUUUCAGAGAUCUUCCAGGCUAACCCUGCCAACACAGAUCCAAUGCUGUAGGAGGGCAGAAUGGUUUUGAGCAAUGGGCCCUGAGUGCCCUCCAUGGGCUUGCCACCCAGAGCCACCUCACGUCUCUGCUCCACCCAUUUCAUUACAGUGCUCCUCAGACACCCUAGGUGUGACUUGACCUGUCACUCCAGAAGAUUCAAGUGGCAAAUCUUAGUGGCAUCCACAUGAUGUUAAGUCUGCAGGUGUCCAGAAUGCAAGAGCUGUAGGGGCAUGAUUUUCUCCAUCUAGAUUUCAAAGGAUGUUGCAUACGGCCUUUGGAGACCCAGACAGAGACUUGUCACAGGGCAGAUCUGCCAAAGAGAGCCCCCACCAGGGCAAUGCCUAAUGAAGCUGUGGAAGUGGGACUGCCACCAAGACCCCAGAACUACAGAGCCAACAGCAUACAUCAUCAACCCAAGAGAGCUGAGUCAUGGGCUGAGCCCAGCAAAGCUGUGGGGCUGUGGCUAACCAAGGCCAUGGUGGCCCAAUCCCUACAUCAGUGUGCUCAGGAUGUGGGAUAUAGAGUCAAAGGAGAUUGUUCUCUGGCUUUAUGACAUAAUGCUCUCUGUUGGGUUUUGGGCUUACUUGGGACCUCUUAUUUCUUCUUGCCUAUUUAUCCCUUUUGGAAUGAGAAUUUCUGUCUAAUGCCUGUCUCACCAUUGUAUUUUGGAAAUAGAUUUUACAGGCCCACAUCUGGAAGGAAUUUGCCUCAAGGUGAAUCAUGCUGUAAGUCUCAUCCAUAUCUGAUUUAGAUGAGACUUUGGACUUUAGAUUUUUGAGUUACUGCUGGAAUUAGUUAAGGCUUUGGGGGCCACUGGGAUGGAAUGAAUGUAUUUUGCACUGUGAAAAGUAUAUAUAUUUGGGGGGCCAUGGGUGGAAUGCUAUGGUUUGAAUAUUUCAUGUGUUGGAAAGUUAAUUUUCAACGCAACAGUGUUGGCAGGUGGGGCCUAAUAAGAGGUUAAUUGGGCCAUGAGGGCAGACCCCUCAUGAAUGGAUUAAUGUCAUUAUCCUAGUAAUGGGAUACUUUUUCUGAGGGUAAAUUAUUAUAAAAGUGAGUUUGGCCAAUUUGCUGUCUGUCUCACAUGCUUGCUUCCACCUUCUACCCUUCUACCAUGGGAGGACCCUCACCAGAUGCCAGUGCAAUGCUUAAACUUCCCAGCUUCCAGAAUUGUGAACCGAAUGAAAUUAUUUUCAUUAUAAAUUACCCAGGUUACAGCAACAAAACAUGAACUAAGACACAUUAUAAAAAGAAAAGCUGAAGGAUAAAUUAGUAGUCAUCUCACCCAACAGGCAGUGCUAUUCUUGGAGCAGAGUAUGGAAAAUUAACAGAAAGCCAAAGAAACGUGAAAGAAACCAAGGUUAAGGUUCCAGGUACUGAGUGUCUAGUACAUGCCAGAAAGCAGACUAGGUUCUUUAUAUCUACUAUCUUAAAGCCCUAGCAGCCUUACCAAAGUUCCUACAAGAAGAAAGUGGAAGCUUCCUUUGGUGGAGCCUAUACGACAGCUUUGGUGAAGCAUAUACUCAGCAGGGAUUCUGGAAGAAGGUUGUGGUCAGCUGAGAAGUUCCCAUGAGAUAAGUGCUAUCCAAUAGAACAAAAACGCCUUAAAUAUAUGUACAGUUGACCUUUGAACAACACAGGGGUUACAGAUGCCAACGCCGAUGCAGUGAAAAAUCUGAGUAUAACUUUUGACUCUUCAAAACACAAUUACUAAUAGCCUACUGUUGACCAGAAGCCUUAUUAGAAACAAUUAACACAUACUUUGUAUGUUAUACAUGUUAUAUAUUGAAUUAUUACAAUAAAGUAAGAUGGAGAAAAGAAAAUGUUAUUAAGAAAAUCAUAAGGAAGAGAAAACAUAUUUCCAUUGGAAGUGGAUCAUCAUAAAGCUCUUCAUUUUCAUUGCCUUCACAUUGGGUAGGCUGAGGAGAAGGAAGAGAAGGGGUUGGUCUUGCUGUCUCAGGGGUGGUAGGAGUGGAAGAAAUUCCAUGUAUAUGGACCUAUGCAAUUCAAACUCAUGUUUUUCAAGGAUCAACUGUGUGUGUGUGAGAGAGAGAGAGAGAGAGAAAGAGAGAGAGAGAGAGAUAGGGAGUGCCUUUAAUAUCAGCUUCCAAUGAGCCAACUUCUGACUAUAGAGCCCUAAAAAAUACAUACUUUCAAAUCCUAUUGUAAGGUUUCAGCUGGGACAAAUAGCAAAUAUUUCUAGAAGUAUUGAACUCCUUUUUUUUGUCUUUUUUUUAAUAAACAAAAGGUAUCUCUCAGAUGACUCAGAACUGAAACCAAUAAGCCUUUUAUGACUUAAUCAUGGACGCCAAAGAUGUCCUCAAAAUAAGAUGCAAAAAGAUAUAACCCUCCCAUGAUCCAGAACCAUUCUCAAAGAUAGCCAAAAGAAACAGAGACACAUAUAACACCCCCACACCCAAGAGCUAUCAAUAAUCAGUAUAUUAACCAAAAAGGGAUGCAAUCCACAUUUCUGCCUGGCCAUAUUCUUGGGGCCUCCAUCCUGAAGUUGGCUGCCUGCAAUGCAAAACCAAUAACUCAUGCACCUCUGACAGCCAGAAAGUCAAGCCAAGUUUUCAGAGGAAAAAAAAAAACAAGACAAAAAGGAAAGCAAUAGCUGUUUCUGAAGAGAAAAGAUCAGUAACUAAUGGGUACCCCAAUCCAAAUUUAACCAGAGUCAUUAUCUCACUAUCCAAACAAGUAAUUCAUCUGCUAAUCUAAAUUUGGAAAGGAAGGAACGAGGAGAAAUUUCUACCUUCAUCUCUCAACUAGGCAUUUCAGAUAGAGAUCUGAGAGAGGUGACCCUGGUAAGAAUUCUUACCUCUCUCCAGCACUUGUCAUUUUUCCCAGGAUCUCACCUGCAAUCUCCAGAACCAGUGGGGUAUCCCGGCCAUCUCCUUCUGGCCACCAGAAACUGGGGAAUGAAAAAUUAUUUGUUCCUUGCUCAUCCCUGAGGCCCCAUAACAAAAGACCAAUUAUUAAAAAAGACAGACAAGUUUAUUUAAUAACUUUUAUGUGACACAGGAGCCUUCAUAAAGAAAUGACUCAAAGAAGCAGGUAAACUUGCGUGUUUUUUAUGCUAGAUUUGAUGAAGAAGUGGACAGUUGUGGAGAAAUAAAAUUGGACGAAAGGGGUAUGAGCUAACAGUGAUAAACUUGGGGACUUAGCAAGGCCUGUGCGUUCAGAUUCUUCUCUGUGUCCAUGUGUCUUCAGAGAUAAGGAUGUUCUUUUCCUCUAGAUAUAGGGAGGGUACCUCUGAAAUGAGGGUCUUAUAAUCUUUUUCCAGGGAAGAUUAGAGAACUCCUAAGUUUCAUGACCUGCUUCAAGAGAGAAGGGUGAAGGAAGGUCAAAGAAUGACCUUGUUUGUGCAGUUUCCUCAAAUACCCAAGUGCCACGUUUUGGGGUUGUACGUCCUGGAUUUCAUCACCUGUAAAGUAAUUUCAUAAGCCUCAUUUUACACACAAGGAAACUAAAUCUUAGAGAGACUAUUAACCUUGUUAGUCAAUUUCAUAUAUUCACGAAGUGGUAGGGAUGAUUCAAGCCCAGGACUGGCUGAUUUCAACAUCCUGAGCCCUUGAUUCUAUAUCCUGCCUACUUUGUCCUGACCACUUUCCGGUUAUACUUCCCAUGGGGCUUAGCAGUGGCUCUAGGACAGGUAGAACUUUCCAUUUCUCUGUCUCUCCCCAUUUCCCUCCGACUCCCCCUCCCAUUUUUC
rnacentral:lncRNA from 10 species